rnacentral:tRNA from 1 species
UGCGGGGUGGAGCAGUGGUAGCUCGUUGGGCUCAUAACCCAAAGGUCAUAGGUUCGAAUCCUGUCCCCGCUACCA